CGCAUGUGUGUGGGGUGGGUCAAAAGAGCUAUCUAAGGCAUUUUGAGCGGUACUGAGGGCUCUACAGUGAAAUAAAACAAUAAGAACUAGCGAAGACUGCAGUAGACAAGGCGAUGAAUGGGCAGAGAGCGUCAAUUAGGUAUAUACAGAACCUUAGUUCGAGGCUUGCGCCGACAGGUACACAAAAUGAGGUACCGUGUUAUUGAAACAGUCCAGGGAGCAUCAGCUGUGUAGCCGAGUGAUCAUAGGGUCAAAAGAGCAGCAAUAGGUGAGUCAGGAUGCCAUUCGGUAGUCACUACUACACUAGGCGAGCAGGGGACACUGUGUUCAGAAAAGCUAGCGGGCCGGGCCUAAGUAGAUGGUUCUUCGGCAACAUCGUAUCAGAAUAGCCUGUUAAGACCACAUUGGGCGAUCACGUCAGUAGUCCAGUCGUGAUGGAUCGGCGGGGCUCCGUGUCGACAGUAAAUGGUCCAGGCUGGCUGGUGACCGAGAAAAAUUAGAAGAACGCUACCCAUGGCUAACAAAGAUUAGUAGCUAGUUAGCUGGCUAGAGCCUGAUGGAAGUUCCAGAUAUAAGGAAUAGAAAUAGCAGAUCUGUACCACAUUGGGUGAGGAGGGUUGCAGGAAUGUCUAUUUAGUUCAUAGAUAGAAAGUGAGAUUAAGAUGUAUAUGAAAAAGACCGGCUAUUUACACGGGAAAGACAAACACACACAUCCUACUGCUACGCCAUCUUGGAGAGCAAAAAUGUUCUCUUGUAUUGUUAACAAAUGUUAAGGUAGAUCACUGACACUUUUGUACUUAAAGAGAUUCUCCGUUAGUUUGUAUAGUUCUGUAGCGCUCACCAACCAAAAGUGGUACACAAAAAUUGCUGUUGCAGCAUUCUGUGGCAUGUCAUUUCAUUCUCAGCCAUUUAUUCUGUUACUGCAAGUUAUUGCUAGUUUGACCACCAGAGGGCAUCUUUGAGAAGCAUUUGAUCGUAUUCCGUAUUAGCAUAACCAGAGAAUUUAACACGUUUUUUUGUAAUAACAUAGUAUAUGGCAUUGAUUUUAAGAAAUUUGGCUUAAUUCAUUUGAUUAAAUUAUGGUGUUUCCAUUCAGAGAAAUUGUCCGUUUGUAAAUUCAGACCGUUUCGUUCUCGUAGAGCAGACUGGACGUUCGGGCCGAGGAGUAGGGUUGAUUUAAGCGCUCUGGGCUUACAACGGCAGUCAAGCACCCAAGCUAACGUUGGUUAGCUACUUCCAGACACAAAAGAGACCACUCUGACCAUUUUACUUGCCCUAGCAGAGCUGAUAAGUCAGUUUUCAUGUUAUUAACCAGAGUGUUGGUGACUGUAAAUGUGCUGCUGGAAACAAUUGAACAAUUAUGCUUUUUAUCCGACGUUUGCUGACACCGGCCAUUUUAGUGCAUUUUUCACCCUGCCAGCUCCUAUGUUCUAUUGAGCACUGUGGCACCAACUCACCUUCCGAACAUUCUAUUCCCAGCUCAUUUUUCAACGUCACAAUGCCUGCUCACGUUGUUUUUUUUAGUUAAAAUGUAAACAACACAAAUAAUAUUGGAACUCUGCGGUCUUCCCAUUGUUUCCUAUGGGGGAAAUAUAGGCAUGUCUGUCUAUUUUGCCAAAUAUCUCGCAAUGUGUAUAUUUAGAUAAUUUUCAAAGCAGGUGUAACCGAUAGCUAGUUAGCGGGGUGCGCCCUAAUAGCGUUUCAAUCGCUGAUGUCACUCUCUCUGAGACCUUGAAGUAGUUGUCCGUCUUGCUCUGCAAGGGCUGCUGCUUUUAUGGAGCGAUGGGAAACAAUGCUUCGAGGGGGACUGUUAUCUAUGUGUGCAGAGGGUCCCUGGUUCAAGCCUAGUUAGGGGCGAGGAGAGGGACAGAGGCAAAACUGUUACACGGGCACCAUUUUAAUCAGAAGAAUCUCCUCUUUGUAAUUAUGUAAGUCUGGGCAGCAAUUAGUGUAUUAAGUAAAGGUUGAAUUGUUCAGCUAUUAGCACCCCUCCCCAACAAGUUGCUGUUCCCAUCUCAUUCCUUUCCCUCUUCCACGCAUCAUCAUUCUGCUCCUGAGUGGCUCGCUUGUGGAAGUGCUGGCAGGAUAUGGCAGCAUCUUCGGUUGUGCGUCAAGAAUUCUGCAUACAGUAGCACGUUUGUAUGAAGGUGUGGUUAUUCGCAGAAAUUGUUAUAUGCUAUGGAGGUACAUUUGUCUUUUUGUCGAGAGCAAAACCUUUUUUUUUUUUUUUUUUCUAUUGUAAAUAAAGCAACUUUUUUCCAACACAAAGGAAGUCAAAGCGGACACCUACGAAGAUGGCAUCUCAGAGAGCGAGCUGACCAAGAGGUCGAAAAUGUAGAUAUUGCCAGAUGUUCACUGUCCGAGGAACAGGCCGUGGAAGCUUUAUUGCUGGCAAAAGUGUCCAUAACCAGAGGUUUUAUCAGCUGUUUUGGUGAACCCCUUCUGCAUCUGAACUGGCUGACACAGAGGGCACAGCAUGAUCAUAAGUGAGAUGUCACUUGGUCAGGUCAACAGGAAGUAUUAUUAUAGAGAUGUUUUACAUUGGAAUACACACAUCGAUGUAGUAGUCCCGGAGUUAAUGAUCCAAGGUCAGUUUUGCAUUUCACCUCCUGAUUUAAGAUGGGGGAAAAAACAAGGCUUAAUCAUGCUCUCUCUCUAUCUAUUUGUCACUCGUCUGCAGGUAUGUGUUGAUGUGAGAGGAAGCCAGUCCUAUCAUCGCCACCUCAUCCGCUCUUAAGAUAACCUUCGGGCCAACUUGGGGGCUCAAGGCUGGUUAGGAGACACCGCAAUUGUGAUGAACUGAGAGAAUAUUAGGGUAGCACUGUAAUUCAUGAAUGCUG